rnacentral:rRNA from 1 species
UACGUAGGGGGCAAGCGUUGUCCGGAAUCAUUGGGCGUAAAGCGCGUGUAGGCGGCUGAGUAAGUCUGCUCUGAAAGCCCGGGGCUCAACCCCGGGAGGCGGGUGGAUACUGCUCAGCUCGAGUCCGGAAGAGGAGUGUGGAAUUCCUGGUGUAGCGGUGAAAUGCGCAGAUAUCAGGAGGAACACCAAUGGCGAAGGCAGCACUCUGGGACGGUACUGACGCUGAGACGCGAAGGCGUGGGGAGCAAACAGG